rfam:Ictidomys tridecemlineatus contig009331, whole genome shotgun sequence.
UGGGGUGUGGCUCAGUGGUACAGCGCUUACCUAGCAUGUGUGAGGCCCUGGGUUCGAUCCUCAGCACCAUAU